rnacentral:rRNA from 1 species
GAGACUCUGUGCGCGUGCAUAUCAAUAAGCGGAGGAAAAGAAACUAACAAGGAUUCCCUUAGUAACGGCGAGUGAAGCGGGAAGAGCUCAAAUUUGAAAUCUUCAAGGUUCUACCUUGACGAAUUGUAGUUUAUAGAAGUGUUUUCUGUUAGUGGAGUGGCAAAAGUUCUUUGGAAUAGGACAUCAUAGAGGGUGAGAAUCCCGUAUUUGGUCAUUCCUUCCUAGCUUUGUGAUACACUUUCAACGAGUCGGAUUGUUUGGGAAUGCAGUCCAAAAUGGGUGGUAAAUUUCAUCUAAAGCUAAAUAUUGGCGAGAGACCGAUAGCGAACAAGUACCGUGAGGGAAAGAUGAAAAGAACUUUGAAAAGAGAGUUAAACAGUACGUGAAAUUGUCAAAAGGGAAGCGUUUGACACCAGUGUUGUUUUUCCGAAAAUCAAUUACGAAUGUUUUGUUUUUAAGAAGUUAUGACUUCAUCGGCUUGCUUCUCUCUUUACGAAACUUUCUUAAUGCACUUUUCGGUUAACAAGUCAACAUCAAUUUCUUUUGUUGUAAAAGGGUAUGAGGAAGGUGGCUUUCUUUUCGGAGAAAGUGUUUAUAGCCUUGUACCUCUGCAAUCGGAGAGAUUGAGGUCUGCAGCGUAGAUCCUUCGGGGUUAGAUACAUUUGUGCUAAGUUAUAGCUUUCAUAGACAACUUGUUGACUAUGUUAAGUCUUGUAGCUUACUCGCUUAUGCUAUUUUACCUACGCUUAGGAUGUUGAUGAUCAGCUGAGCGCG